UACGUAGGGUGCGAGCGUUGUCCGGAAUUACUGGGCGUAAAGAGCUCGUAGGUGGUUUGUCGCGUUGUCCGUGAAAACUCACAACUCAAUUGUGGGCGUGCGGGCGAUACGGGCAGACUGGAGUACUGCAGGGGAGACUGGAAUUCCUGGUGUAGCGGUGAAAUGCGCAGAUAUCAGGAGGAACACCGGUGGCGAAGGCGG
rnacentral:rRNA from 1 species